rnacentral:rRNA from 1 species
GAAUGCUGACAUAAGUAACGAUAAAGCGGGUGAAAAGCCCGCUCGCCGGAAGACCAAGGGUUCCUGUCCAACGUUAAUCGGGGCAGGGUGAGUCGACCCCUAAGGCGAGGCCGAAAGGCGUAGUCGAUGGGAAACGGGUUAAUAUUCCCGUACUUGGUGUUACUGCGAAGGGGGGACGGAGAAGGCUAUGUUGGCCGGGCGACGGUUGUCCCGGUUUAAGCGUGUAGGUGUGUGUUCCAGGUAAAUCCGGUUCACUUUAACACUGAGGCGUGACGACGAGGCACUACGGUGCUGAAGCAACAAAUGCCCUGCUUCCAGGAAAAGCCUCUAAGCAUCAGGUAACAUCAAAUCGUACCCCAAACCGACACAGGUGGUCAGGUAGAGAAUACCAAGGCGCUUGAGAGAACUCGGGUGAAGGAACUAGGCAAAAUGGUGCCGUAACUUCGGGAGAAGGCACGCUGACACGUAGGUGAAGUGAUUUACUCAUGGAGCUGAAGUCAGUCGAAGAUACCAGCUGGCUGCAACUGUUUAUUAAAAACACAGCACUGUGCAAACACGAAAGUGGACGUAUACGGUGUGACGCCUGCCCGGUGCCGGAAGGUUAAUUGAUGGGGUCAGCGCAAGCGAAGCUCCUGAUCGAAGCCCCGGUAAACGGCGGCCGUAACUAUAACGGUCCUAAGGUAGCGAAAUUCCUUGUCGGGUAAGUUCCGACCUGCACGAAUGGCGUAAUGAUGGCCAGGCUGUCUCCACCCGAGACUCAGUGAAAUUGAACUCGCUGUGAAGAUGCAGUGUACCCGCGGCAAGACGGAAAGACCCCGUGAACCUUUACUAUAGCUUGACACUGAACAUUGAGCCUUGAUGUGUAGGAUAGGUGGGAGGCUUUGAAGCGUGGACGCCAGUCUGCGUGGAGCCGACCUUGAAAUACCACCCUUUAAUGUUUGAUGUUCUAACGUGGACCCGUGAUCCGGGUUGCGGACAGUGUCUGGUGGGUAGUUUGACUGGGGCGGUCUCCUCCUAAAGAGUAACGGAGGAGCACGAAGGUUGGCUAAUCCUGGUCGGACAUCAGGAGGUUAGUGCAAUGGCAUAAGCCAGCUUGACUGCGAGCGUGACGGCGCGAGCAGGUGCGAAAGCAGGUCAUAGUGAUCCGGUGGUUCUGAAUGGAAGGGCCAUCGCUCAACGGAUAAAAGGUACUCCGGGGAUAACAGGCUGAUACCGCCCAAGAGUUCAUAUCGACGGCGGUGUUUGGCACCUCGAUGUCGGCUCAUCACAUCCUGGGGCUGAAGUAGGUCCCAAGGGUAUGGCUGUUCGCCAUUUAAAGUGGUACGCGAGCUGGGUUUAGAACGUCGUGAGACAGUUCGGUCCCUAUCUGCCGUGGGCGCUGGAGAACUGAGGGGGGCUGCUCCUAGUACGAGAGGACCGGAGUGGACGCAUCACUGGUGUUCGGGUUGUCAUGCCAAUGGCACUGCCCGGUAGCUAAAUGCGGAAGAGAUAAGUGCUGAAAGCAUCUAAGCACGAAACU